rnacentral:rRNA from 1 species
GACGAACCGUGCGAACGUUAUUCGGAAUCACUGGCUUAAAGGCGCGAUGUAGGCGGGAGGGCACGUCCGUCGCUGAAAUCCCCCGGCUCAACCGGGGACGGGCGCGGAUACGACCUUCCUGGAGGGCGGUAGGGGGACCUGGAACUUCCGGUGGAGCGGUGAAAUGCGUUGAGAUCGGAAGGAACGCCCGUGGCGAAAGCGGAGGUCCUGGACGCCUACUGACGCUGAGGCGCGAAAGCUAGGGGAGCGAACAGGAUAGAUACCCCAGU